GACGAACGCUGGCGGCGUGCUUAACACAUGCACGUCGAACGGAAAGGCCCUGCUUUUGUGGGGUGCUCGAGUGGCGAACGGGUGAGUAACACGUGAGUAACCUGCCCUUGACUUUGGGAUAACUUCAGGAAACUGGGGCUAAUACCGGAUAGGAGCUCCUGCUGCAUGGUGGGGGUUGGAAAGUUUCGGCGGUUGGGGAUGGACUCGCGGCUUAUCAGCCUGUUGGUGGGGUAGUGGCUUACCAAGGCUUUGACGGGUAUCCGGCCUGAGAGGGUGACCGGCCACAUGGGGACUGAGCUACGGCCCAGACUCCUACGGGCGGCAGCAGUGGGGAAUAUUGCCCGAUGGGCGGAAGCCUGAUGCAGCAACGCCGCGUGCGGGAUGACGGCCUUCGGGUUGUAAACCGCUUUCGCCUGUGACGAAGCGUGAGUGACGGUAAUGGGUAAAGAAGCACCGGCUAACUACGUG
rnacentral:rRNA from 1 species